AUUUUUGACUGACUAUCAUCACUCAGGCUCUCCGAGGUGUUUGAAGAUGAGGGGUGGUGGCUGCCAGUCUGGAUAGAAUAUAAAAGAGACACCAGCCCCAGCUCUCUUCACUCUUGCUUGGUCGCAUUUUCAGCGGUUCCAUUUUCUUGGUGAGCCAGGUUUCUCCAGGAAGAUGCUGACCCCGCUGGAAGGUGCGGUUGGCACCAUCAUCGAAAUCUUCCACAAAUAUUCGUGCAAGGAGCCUCAUCAUGACAAGCUCUCCAAGGGGGAACUGAAAUGCCUGAUUCAGAAGGAGCUUGGGAACUUGCUGCAGCAUCCGAACGACCCGCAUGAACUCCAAAGCAUAUUUGAUGAGCUGGACGUAAAUAAGGAUCACAGUGUUAACUUUAAGGAGUAUAUGAUACUGAUAACCACAUUGCUCAUUUGUACCCAUGACAAAUUACACGACAACUAGAAGCAUCUUCCCCAUCCUCCAAUGUAACCAGGGAAAGAUCUUAUAAUUUGUAAAAAAAAUAUGAAUUGACUAGGACAGAUUUCUUUCCACUGUGUUACAGUGAGAUGUGAACUAUCUGCUUAUAUGACAGAUGUAAUGCCAUGGGAUAAUAAAGAUAAUAAAGCUUCAUUAAAGCUCUCA